GCGGAUGAGAAUCCGCUGGGAUGUAACCAUUUGGUUGAACCAUAAA
rnacentral:ncRNA from 1 species